CCUACGGGUGGCUGCAGUGGGGAAUAUUGGACAAUGGGGGCAACCCUGAUCCAGCCAUGCCGCGUGUGUGAAGAAGACCCUCGGGUUGUAAAGCACUUUCAGUGAGGAAGAACGCCUGGUGGUUAAUACCCAUCAGGAAAGACAUCACUCACAGAAGAAGCACCGGCUAACUCCGUGCCAGCAGCCGCGGUAAUACGGAGGGUGCGAGCGUUAAUCGGAAUUACUGGGCGUAAAGCGCGCGUAGGUGGCUUGAUAAGCCGGUUGUGAAAGCCCCGGGCUCAACCUGGGAACGGCAUCCGGAACUGUCAAGCUAGAGUGCAGGAGAGGAAGGUAGAAUUCCCGGUGUAGCGGGGAAAUGCGUAGAGAUCGGGAAGAAUACCAGUGGCGAAGGCGGCCUUCUGGACUGACACUGACACUGAGGUGCGAAAGCGUGGGUAGCAAACAGGAUUAGAUACCCUGGUAGUC
rnacentral:rRNA from 1 species